rnacentral:rRNA from 1 species
AGGAUCAUUAGUGAAUAUAGGACGUCCAACUUAACUUGGAGUCCGAACUCUCACUUUCUAACCCUGUGCACUUGUUUGGGAUAGUAACUCUCGCAAGAGAGCGAACUCCUAUUCACUUAUAAACACAAAGUCUAUGAAUGUAUUAAAUUUUAUAACAAAAUAAAACUUUCAACAACGGAUCUCUUGGCUCUCGCAUCGAUGAAGAACGCAGCGAAAUGCGAUAAGUAAUGUGAAUUGCAGAAUUCAGUGAAUCAUCGAAUCUUUGAACGCACCUUGCGCUCCAUGGUAUUCCGUGGAGCAUGCCUGUUUGAGUGUCAUGAAUACUUCAACCCUCCUCUUUCUUAAUGAUUGAAGAGGUGUUUGGUUUCUGAGCGCUGCUGGCCUUUACGGUCUAGCUCGUUCGUAAUGCAUUAGCAUCCGCAAUCGAACUUCGGAUUGACUUGGCGUAAUAGACUAUUCGCUGAGGAAUUCUAGUCUUCGGAUUAGAGCCGGGUUGGGUUAAAGGAAGCUUCUAAUCAGAAUGUCUACAUUUUAAGAUUAGAUCUCAAAUCAGGUAGGACUACCCGCUGAACUUAAGCAUAUCAAUAAGCGGAGGAAAAGAAACUAACAAGGAUUCCCCUAGUAGCGGCGAGCGAAGCGGGAAGAGCUCAAAUUUAUAAUCUGGCACCUUCGGUGUCCGAGUUGUAAUCUCUAGAAAUGUUUUCCGCGUUGGACCGCACACAAGUCUGUUGGAAUACAGCGGCAUAGUGGUGAGACCCCCGUAUAUGGUGCGGACGCCCAGCGCUUUGUGAUACAUUUUCGAAGAGUCGAGUUGUUUGGGAAUGCAGCUCAAAUUGGGUGGUAAAUUCCAUCUAAAGCUAAAUAUUGGCGAGAGACCGAUAGCGAACAAGUACCGUGAGGGAAAGAUGAAAAGCACUUUGGAAAGAGAGUUAACAGUACGUGAAAUUGUUGGAAGGGAAACGCUUGAAGUCAGACUUGCUUGCCGAGCAAUCGGUUUGCAGGCCAGCAUCAGUUUUCCGGGAUGGAUAAUGGUAGAGAGAAGGUAGCAGUUUCGGCUGUGUUAUAGCUCUCUGCUGGAUACAUCUUGGGGGACUGAGGAACGCAGUGUGCCUUUGGCGGGGGUUUCGACCUCUUCACACUUAGGAUGC